rnacentral:rRNA from 1 species
AUGAAACAAAAGCACAAACAUUUGCCCCUCAAGGGAAGAAAAAAGGGAGCACCGAAAUUGGGGGGAACCGAGCUGGAAGCAGUACCUGGUGAAGAGUGUGCCGCAGUCACAGCGAUACUCGCGGGUGCCGCAGGUCUUGGCAUGAGCCUUGAGGUCGGCCUGGACGGCGUAGCGCUUGCCGCAGCGUGGGCAGGCCCAUCGCUUCUCGCCGUGCUUGCGGCAGAAGUGCUUCUUGAUGCCCGUGAGGUCCCCGAGCGCGCGGGCGGGGGAGUGGUGCACGCAGCCGGGCUCCGGGCAGACGUAGACCCUCCGGCGCGGCGGCGCCGCCCCGGGGCCGCGCUGCCGCAGCCGCCACGGAAGGUUGUGCCCCCGGCGGUGGAGCUGCAGGUUCUGGUCCCUCUGGAAGCCCUUGCCGCACACCUCGCACACGAACCGGUUGGUCGCCAUGAGCGUCCCCGGCGACAGCGCGAUCACCUCCGCGUCCGGAUCUGCACAAGCACACGGAAACCGACCACCGUCAGACCAACAAAGCUCGCGCGAGCCGCGUACCAACCACCCCGCAAAACCCGAAGCGCGCGCUCUCGCCUGGCGUCCCGGGGAGGUUCCUCUUCUUCUUGGGCGGCGCCGGCGUCGCGGCCGCCUCCGGCUGCUCCGGCUCCGUCGGAUUGGGCGGCAUCCCCGGUCGAUCUGGCGCCGUUGCGGCCGCCGCUCCGCUCAGCUCACAGCCCUCCAGCUGCCCCUUAUCGGCGCCCAGACCCGCGUCAGCGAACGGAGGGCGCGGCGGCGGUGGACGGAGGAUUUUUUUUCUCUCCUCCUCCUCUCUUCGCUUCUUCUCUGGCUGGCUGGCUUGGCUUGGCUUGGCUUGCUUUCGAUUGGGGGUUGGGGGUGUGGGGAGAUGGAUGGGAGUCAGAGCGGCCGCGGCAUCGGGAUGAGGCGGAGGCGUUGGCGUUGGCGUUGGCGUUGCGGUGCUCGCUCGGGCGGGGGGUGGGGUGGUGUGUACCGCGCGGUGCCAAUCCGGCACGUUGGCUUUUGGGUGCGGGGUGGGUAGCGUCCCCUCGCCGCCGUCGGAUUCCGCGCCGUGAUUCGUGCGCACGUGGUCUCGCCCUGCCGUUUACUGCCCUGCGGGGACACCCUUUUUGGUGGCUAGCUUGCCCCCUUUUAAAUCCAGCCCCACACCCCGAGAAAAAUCGCCCGUGUCCAAUCGCCUCCAUCACUGUGCCGUCUCCCCCCUCAAUUCCACGUACCUACGUAUGGUCGACCAGCUGA